UGAGGCGUCCGGACUGGCCCAGGGAGGUCGGCAACGACCACCCAGGGCCGGAAAGUUCGUCAAACUUGGUCAUUUAGAGGAAGUAAAAGUCGUAACAAGGUCUCCGUAGGUGAACCUGCGGAGGGAUCAUU
rnacentral:rRNA from 1 species